rnacentral:rRNA from 1 species
UACGGGGGGGGCAAGCGUUGUUCGGAAUUACUGGGCGUAAAGGGCUCGUAGGCGGCCAACUAAGUCGGAUGUGAAAUCCCCAGGCUUAACCUGGGAACUGCAUCCGAUACUGGAUGGCUUGAAUUCGGGAGAGGGAUGCGGAAUUCCAGGUGUAGCGGUGAAAUGCGUAGAUAUCUGGAGGAACACCGGUGGCGAAGGCGGGUCUCUGGGCCGGAUGACUGACGCUGGAGGAGCGAAAGCGUGGGGAGCGAACAGG